rnacentral:lncRNA from 1 species
AACUCAAUUUUUUUUCGAAUUUCAAAUUUGAAACAAAAUAGAUUUUCGAAUUUGAAUAACUCAAAUACUUCGAAUAAACCGAAUACCAAUCUAUAAUAUUUUACAUUUUUACCCCAAACUCCCAUAACCUAUUUACUUUCCCCUAAAAUUUUUACUCCCUCCCACUUUCCCCCCACAACUUUUAUUCCCCUCCCAUCCCACCCCUUCUACCCUCAAACCCAUUUCCCACCAAAAUUUUACUCCCCCAUUUAUCCCCCCCC